UGGUAUUAUUUUGUCGCUUGUUUCCUUUUUAAAAAAAUGGACGAAUAUACAUGUUUAGUAUUUACAAGGAAACAUAAAAUGAAUGUCUAGUAAGUGUAUUAAUCUCAGCUGCAUAAAGUAGAAAAUAAUUAAACUCAUUGGCAUAAAGCAUAUUGUCUUAGGAUUUAUUGAUUGUCCCAUCCCAUACUUCACUGUACCACAAUAUGAUGUAAUACAUUUCAAGAAGAGAGUAGAGAUGCCAGUCUGUGAUGGACAAACGAUUGACAAGUUCCUGGUCACCUUGUGUUCGUUCUUGAGUGUAUGCAUCAUCCUCUUAAUUUGUAUUCUCCUGAACAUUCUCUUCAAACACAGAAGACACUUGAAGGGAAAGUUGACAAUAUCAAGAAAGAAGACCAAACCUGUCGUCAACCCGACAUACGAAGAACAAGAAUUGAGCACGAUUGUAACAUCCUACGAUCAGAUUAGUCUACAACCUUAACAGGAGAUCAUUUCAUCGUUCUUUCCGUCCUUCAAUCAAUUUUAUCCUCCUCUUCAUAUGAGAAUUUGGUUUCUGAUGACAUUGAUUGUCAAAAGUGUGUAUUUCCGAAUAUCGUAUUAUGUUAAUGAAUAACAUGGUAAAACUAAUCAAACACCUGUUUCGGAGAUGUUUAUGAGUGCCUGUUCAUUACAAACUACAAAAAGGCAACAGUCUAUCUUAUUUGCAAUAAGUCAGCUUAUGAAAUUUCGAAAUCAUUCCGCAGAUUUUUGGAAACUUAAAUAUGAAUUUUUGAUUGGUGAAUAUUAAUUCUUCUUGAUAAGGACAUGUCAAUAUCAAGGGAAAUAAAUAACAGAUAAAACGCAGUGGGGGUGAAUUUUCAAAAGACUUUUGGCACUAAUUUUGUCACUAAAAAACGUCAUCUCAGACGUAUAUACUACAGAAGAUUAAGAACUUUAUUUUAUAGAUAUUUCAGACAUAACUUCUUAAAUUAUGGCGAGGUCUGUCCGGAUUAUACAGAUUAAAUAAGUUGUCUUUUUUCUUUAUGGUAUGGCAAUAUAAUUAUGUAUUCAAUUUGUAUUCAAUAGUAUUUUUUUUAAGAAUACGAUGUCAAGUCUUCAUAAACUUUUCAGAAUGAAAUUUUUCAUGCAUGUAUUUAAUACAUCAAGGUUAUCAAAUUUGGGCAUGUAAUCAACAAGACUUGGCAAACAAAGUCGAUAUCUUGUCUUAUUCAUUUAAUAGAAUUAUAUUGGGAGCAAUCCAGAGAGGAUAGAAUAUCAGUUUUGAUCAACGUCUGAAUGUUGUGAAAAUUACUAUCCCGAGGAUACCCGAUGCAAACCGUGUAUAGGUUCUUUUGGUAGAAAUUGUUCGGGCGGGCCCUGUACACCGGGGUAUUACGGUCAUGGAUGCAAUGAACGGUGUGAUUGUGGAACCAUUGUAUGUGAUAGAACAAGUGGAUGCCCUCAAGAUUUGAAGACCGGAACAUAUCACUACUGGACUUUCAUUGUUUUAGGGACGCUAGUCAUUAACAGUAUACCGAUAACGAUUGCAAUUAAUGCUUUCAUAUCGACUAGAACAAGGAUCACUAGAGGCGAACAGGACAACAAUCAAGAAACAGCUAGAAGAAAAAGAAAAUUAAACAUAUUCUCAGGUGCCUUGCUAAAACGUUUUCGGAGAGCUCCGUCCUCUGAUGAUGAUGAGGAAGAUGCGGAGAAUCCAAACGAAAGCAGUCUGGAAUCACCUAAAAGAAGAGGGAAGUUAAAUGUUUAUGUUGACGCAUUACUAAAUCGUGUCAGGAAGGCGCCUCCUCACAA